rnacentral:lncRNA from 1 species
UGGUCAGUAGAGGGCCUUCAUUUUACAUAAAGUUAGAAAAUAUAAACAAAGACACAAUCAGCAGAACGAUCUACUCCUGCUCAAAUUACCAACACACACCACCCCCUUCCCUUGUGGCCCUCCCAUUUCUCUUUUUUUUUUUUUUUUAAGCAUUGAUCUACAACUAGUACCCUCAGAAUUCCCUUGAAACAAGAUUCUCGUGAAAAUCAAAUCAAGAUGGAACAGAAAAAAAAUGGUAGAGAUUAUUCAUACUUCUGGCCUGAAUUCUUUUAGGUAUUUGGCAUUUCUCUUCUUAAAAGAGCUCAAAAUUGCUUCUGAAUAUUGAUUUGCACCAACAAUACCCAUGUGAAGAAUAGUGGAGGUAACGAAUCACUCAGUGUUAGAUCCAGGAAUACUGAGUCAUAGAAAAAAACACAAUUGUACCUUACCUUAACUGUGGAUUCUCAAGAAGUUUUUUAUUAUGCUUUAGUAAACUGAAUCAUUUUAAAUACACUAAGAGGUCUGUAUGUUUAGGAGCACGUUACAGCGGAUUAUAGAAAGUGAUCAAGCACAGUAUUUCAGGGUUGCUUAGUGUUCUGAUUGAUUUGUUCUGUGAGUCUGGAAUUUAGAAUGUGUCUCUUGGAUUUAUAAGAUGGCUGCUCCUUUCUGUGCUACAGGGGAUGACUUCACACCCAUGGUGGAGGUGUGGGGGGCAAAUAAUGAGGGAAUAAUGGGCUUCGAGGUCUCAUGACUUGGGAGUCAUCUGCUGGCCCCUUGUCCUCUCCAGCUGAUGAUCCACGGGGAACUAGACCCAAUAAGUGAUCAAAGAGAAAGUGUCAUCAUCCUGAAAUCUUCCUUAGGCUGAGCCCUUGCUGGAGACCAACCAAGCUGAGAUCAGGAUCUGAUAAACAUCUCAAAGCAGGGCCAAGUUUUGACUUUAUGGAUCGAACAUAUUCCCUUGUGCUGUGCUCUGGGGAGGCUUCAAUUUCAGUGUUUGAAAAUGUUCGAGAUGUAGAAGGUUAUGCUCAGCGCUAACAUUCUCGGAGCCUGGGAUGAGAGGACACAUGGAGUCACACACUGAAUGGCUAAGUAUUUACAAUUAUCACUCAUGCUAAAAAAACUUUUAAAUAAAAUUAUAUUGUAGCUAUACCUUCGUUUAUUG